rnacentral:tRNA from 1 species
GGCUUGAUGGUCUAGUGGUAUGAUUCUCGCUUUGGGUGCGAGAGGCCCCGUGUUCGAUCCACGGUCAAGCCC